rnacentral:rRNA from 1 species
GAGUUUGAUCAUGGCUCAGGAUGAACGCCGGCGGUGUGCCUAAUACAUGCAAGUCGUACGCACUGGCCCAACUGAUUGAUGGUGCUUGCACCUGAUCGACGAUGGAUCACCAGUGAGUGGCGGACGGGUGAGUAACACGUAGGUAACCUGCCCUGUACAGGGGGAGUAACAAUCAGAAAUAGACUGCUAAUACCGCAUAAGACCACAGCACCGCAUGGUGCA